GUCGAACGAGGAAAGCACCUUCGGGGUGCCGGUACUAGUGGCGCACGGGUGAGUAACGCGUGGAUAAUCUGCCCUCUGGCGGGGAAUAACCAGUCGAAAGAUUGGCUAAUACCGCAUAAGACCACAGUUUCUGCGGGAACAGUGGUUAAAGAUUUAUCACCAGAGGAUGAGUCCGCGUCCGAUUAGCUUGAUGGUGGGGUAAUGGCCUACCAUAGCUACGAUCGGUAGCUGGUCUGAGAGGAUGAUCAGCCACACUGGAACUGAGACACGGUCCAGACUCCUACGGGAGGCAGCAGUAGGGAAUCUUGCGCAAUGGGGGAAACCCUGACGCAGCGACGCCGCGUGAGUGAUGAAGGCCUUAGGGUUGUAAAGCUCUGUUCUAUGGGAACAAAAAAAUGAGUGUACCAUAGAAGAAAGGACCGGCUAACUCCGUGCCAGCAGCCGCGGUAAUACGGGGGGUCCUAGCGUUGUUCGGAAUCAUUGGGCGUAAAGCGGGUGUAGGCGGACUGAUAAGUCAGAAGUGAAAGCCCCGGGCUCAACCCGGGAAGUGCUUUUGAUACUGUUAGUCUUGAGUGUGGGAGAGGGUAGUAGAAUUCCUGGUGUAGUGGUGAAAUACGUAGAUAUCAGGAGGAACACCGGUGGCGAAGGCGGCUACCUGGCCCAACACUGACGCUCAGACCCGAAAGCGUGGGUAGCAAACAGGAUUAGAUACCCUGGUAGUCCACGCCGUAAACACUGGACACUUG
rnacentral:rRNA from 1 species